rnacentral:tRNA from 1 species
AAUUUAAAGGAUUAAACAGAAACCUGCAAUUUCAAACAAAAAAUCUUAAUUUU